rnacentral:lncRNA from 1 species
AUUUGCAGGUCAUUUGGUUGGAAUUUAAUUGUCGCUUAACAUCGAAAUUAAUGAUACAAAAAAAAAAUAAACCUAAUUCUAUGGUGGAGGGGGAUCAACCUCUGUGUGGGGUGUUGUUCGUUGGGGCCACUGGUAGACGGCAGCAGAGGAGUGCCGGCACUCCUACAUACAUAUACAUAUACAUGUACAUAUGGAUACAUACAUAUUUAUGUAUGUAUUUAUGUAUUUAUGUAUUUAUGUAAGCGGCACUUAUGAGUGGUUCUGGUACACUAACCCACACUCCAACGUUCCGUUCUGUGCCGUUCCAUUCCAUUCCAUUCCGCCGUUCGUGCUACUCCUGCGCCGCAUGACGCUUGGCCUUUGGCAUGGCCACCUCCAGGGAGCGAUCCACAUAGGCGAAGUUAUCCACAACGCUGGCGGCCAGAGCGCCACCCAUCACGAGCAGAGCUCCACUAAUGGCAAUCUUUGACCACAUGCUGUGUCUGUGUCUGUGUCUGUGUUGUGUGUGUGUAAGAGCAGCAGCGAGAGCGACCGAACCUGGGGCUGAGAUAUUUGCAAUGUGCGCGGGACGCACGCCCUGC